rnacentral:misc_RNA from 1 species
AAGAGACAUGUAGAAACAAUGGAGGUGGCGUCAGCAUCAAAAAGGCAGGCUAUUGAAACAACUUUUGGAUCACCAAAGUCAUCCAGCCCCAGCAGACCAGCUGCAUUGUUGCGGGAUAGUUCUUUCAAGGGCUUAGAUAAAGGGAAAGUAAAUCCAGCUCAGCAAACAUCUUUUGUCAAUCACUCCAGUAUUGAUACUCCGGAAACUGCAC